UGGCCACACAGCUGUAGAAGCCCAUGUCUGUCUCCUGUAAGAGAGGACAGAGGACUGGUGAACUGGGAGUGGAGCAAGGGCCUUGGCCAGGAUGCUGCCAGCCACACUGACAGCUUGACACACGUAGUGGCCAGCAUCCCCGCUCUGCACUUCAGUGAUGUUGAGCUGGCCUUUGGGAGAAACUAAGAAGCGCCCUGUAGGCUGAAGGGACUGACUGGGGAAGAGCAGGACCUGGGGACAGAGCAAGGCACCAAGAAUCUAAUGAAAAUGCAGCUGUCUCUGAUGCUAGAGAAGAUCCUGGGAAA